CAGUCGCCACGGGAAUACGAGGGGGGCAAGCGUUGUUCGGAAUUAUUGGGCGUAAAGGGUGCGUAGGCGGUUUGGCAAGUUUGGUGUGAAAUCUUCGGGCUCAACUCGAAGUCUGCAUCGAAAACUGCCCGGCUUGAGUAUGGGAGAGGUGAGUGGAAUUUCCGGUGUAGCGGUGAAAUGCGUAGAUAUCGGAAGGAACACCUGUGGCGAAAGCGGCUCACUGGACCAUAACUGACGCUGAUGCACGAAAGCUAGGGGAGCAAACAGGAUUAGAUACCCCAGUAGUCCCUGUCUCUUAUAC
rnacentral:rRNA from 1 species